rnacentral:rRNA from 1 species
UACAGAGGGUGCGAGCGUUAAUCGGAAUUACUGGGCGUAAAGCGUGCGUAGACGGUUAUUUAAGUCGGGUGUGAAAGCCCCGGGCUCAACCUGGGAAUUGCAUUCGAGACUGAAUAGCUAGGGUACGGUAGAGGGAAGUGGAAUUUCAGGUGUAGCGGUGAAAUGCGUAGAUAUCUGAAGGAACAUCAGUGGCGAAAGCGACUUCCUGGACCAAUACUGACACUGAAAAGCGAAAGCCAGGGGAGCAAACGGG